UGUUAAUAGAGAAAGCAGAUAAUCUUCCCACAUAGGCUGUGUUGGUUGUUCCUUUGUGAUCCUCAAAGAAAAGCAGAGAAGGAAUUUGUUUUGCUGCAAGUAUUUCAUGAAUCUGUUUUGCUUACUUUGGUUAUGCAUUUGCCUUACUAGAUCAAUGGCCUUCACUUUAAGGCCUUCAAGUUGAGGCACUGGAAUGCCUUGCCUUGAAAUGGUGAGAGGAUGUCCACUUUUCUCUCUGGCUAGUAGUAAAGAAUUUAAUGAA